UCCUCGUUUAGACGAGGCAGUCUGUCCAGAGUGCUCCCGGCUCUCGCCGGGGUGGCAACAGGACACAAGGGUUGCGCUCGUUGCGGGACUUAACCCAACAUCUCACGACACGAGCUGACGACAGCCAUGCAGCACCUGUGCAAGCUGGUCUUGCGACCUCGUUAGACUUUCAUCCUUCUACUACUUGCAUGUCAAGGCCAGGUAAGGUUCUUCGCGUUGCAUCGAAUUAAGCCACAUACUCCACCGCUUGUGCAGGCCCCCGUCAAUUUCUUUGAGUUUUAAUCUUGCGACCGUACUUCCCAGGCGGCGCGCUUAUCGCGUUGGCUUCGCCACAAAAGGGGUCGAUUCCUUUUACAGCAAGCGCGCACCGUUUACAGCCGGGACUAC
rnacentral:misc_RNA from 1 species